UUUGGGUUGAUGCCUAGGAUGUACAGGCCUGU
rnacentral:piRNA from 1 species